GUUUGGAGUGAGCGUGCAAGUCGUACAACAGACACCAGACUGCUACUGCUGACAUUGACGAGAGCGUGGAGUUGUCCUGAUCCUCUCCCUGAAUGUCCACCUCAACAGUGUACGGUCCGCUCAGCAGGAGAAAAUGGUCAUUGAUGUGUUAAGUCCUCAAGCUGGCAUUGUGAUGGGCUCCUUCGGUGUUCUUUGCCUAGCUGUUGGGAGUGUGGCUUCAUUAUAUGUGAGUAAGUGACGUUGAAUUAGCUGGGUGGAGCUGCGAAUUGGGAACCGGGCAAGCACGUGGGACAGUUUCUCGGGGACAGUGCCGAUGCGUGAACUUGUUAUCAUCCAGAAAAGCUUCCCCCAACCCAGUGUACCACAAGAGAACAGGCACUGAGAAGAACGGGAGUGGCUGCACCAUUGAACAGGAGUAUGACUAUACCAGAGCCCAGAAUAAAGUGUUAUUAACCAUGAUGAUUUAGUACUAUUGACACCAAAGAAGUGAGGGAAGUGUUUGGAGUGAGUGUGCAAGACAUACAACAGACACCAGAUUGUUACUGCCGGUGUAGCCAAAGGAACAAGAGGAUGAUGAUUUUUGGAGACGUACCAAUGAAGUUCUGAAGGAUUCAGUACUACUAACACCAGAGAAGUGAGGGAAGUGUUCUGAGUGAGCGUGCAAGACAUGCAAAAGACACCAGACUGCUACUGCCUGUGUAGCCAAAGGAACAAGACCGAUGUUUACCACAAUACUAGUUAGUGAUGUUGGUCUAUGAUUUAGGAACCCGAUCCUUUUUCCUCACUUAUAUUUUGGGACUAUAUUUGCUGUUUUCCACUUCUUUGUCACGUUCCUUUUCAUCAGAGAGCUGUUGAUCAUAUUCCAGAUUGGUUCCACCAGUUGUUCUCUACAUUCCCUCAGUGUCCAUCCUAACACUUUAUCUGGCCCCAUUACCUUCAUGUCCAUCCCUUUUAGCAGUUAACUGAUUUUUUUGCUUAUGGACCAGAAUGUUUCUUAAUCCCUCUUGUGUUGCUUGGUUGUUUUCUUUUAUGAAUUUUCCCUUUUCAUUAAAUACUGAUUUAAAGCUCUUGUUCAUAAGUUCUUUUGUUGUUUUAUGUGUCCUAUUUCCCUUAGUUAACUAAGUGAUGGUCUUUCUGUUUGUCAUUUUUCCAUUCAUAUACUUACAAAAGUUCAUUUUCACAUCUCUUCUCUACAUCCGUUACAAAAUUUCUCUCCUCCCUUCUUAUCCUUAUGUAUUUGUUCCGUGCCUCCUCAUACUGUUUCCUAUUUGCUUCAUUCUGUUGCUUCCUUAAUUUUUUGAAGCUGCAUCCUUACACUUUUUAGCUUUUGUACAUAUACUGUAGCAUUGUACUGCAUGUUUGCUUUCCUUUACUCUGUAUUCGGGAACAUCUCUCUUUAUUCCUUCAUUAUAUUUAUCUAGGAAUAUAUCAUACUUCUCUUGAACUGUCUUGUCUUGCAUAGUUUUCUUCCUCUCAAUACUACCAAAGUAGCUUCUUAACCCUUUAAAAUUUGACUUGGCAUGGUUCCAUGUUUUUUGCUUGUGACCCUCUUUACAUUUUAAAAAUUCCUGAUUCUCUUGAGUCAAUUUCCAGGACCACAUGAUCACUUUUUUUCCCAUUGGGCUGUAAUAUUUGAUGUUUGGACAAGGCUCCAUUUUUUUUU